CACGUAGGAGGCAAACGUUAUCCGGAUUUACUGGGCGUAAAGCGCGUGUAGGUGGUUCUGUAAGUAGGGCGUGAAAGCUCCCGGCUCAACUGGGAGAGGCCGUUCUAAACUGCAGAGCUAGAGGAUGGUAGAGGGAGGUGGAAUUCCAGGUGUAGCGGUGAAAUGCGUAGAGAUCGGAAGGAACACCAGUGGCGAAGGCGACUACCUGGACCGAUACUGACACUGAGGUGCAAAAGCGUGGGUAGCAAACAGGAUUAGAUACCCGUGUAGUCCCU
rnacentral:rRNA from 1 species